UACGUAGGGUGCGAGCGUUAAUCGGAAUUACUGGGCGUAAAGCGUGCGUAGGCGGUUGGCAAAGUCAGCCUGUGAAAGCCCCGGGCUCAACCUGGGAAUGGCGGUUGAAACUAGUCGAACUCGAAUCUGGCAGAGGGGGUGGAAUUCCGACGUGUAGCAGUGAAAUGCGUAGAGAUGUGGAGGAACACCGAUGGCGAAGGCAGCCCCCUGGGCUGAGAUGACGCUCGAGGCACGAAAGCGUGGGGAGCAAACAGGAUAG
rnacentral:rRNA from 1 species